UAUGGAAGGAAGUGGCAGGAGAUGAGGUUAGCAUUAGAUCUUCAAGGUCUUUGCAUGUCACCCAAAGGAAUUUGGACUUUAACCAGUGGGCUAGGAAGCCACUGAAAUAUUUUAAGCCAGGAAGUGAUGCAACAUGAUCAUAGUUUUAUUUUGGAGUAACAAAUCUGUCAGUAGUGUGAAGAAUUAACUGAAGUCCAGAGGAGUGUCUGAGGUCAAGACUACCAGCUGGGUAACUUGAAAUAAUCCAUAUGAGUAAGAAGAGAUGAACUAGUGUCAUGACAAUAAAGAGAAACAUACUGGGGAAUUAUUGAGACGGUAGAGGCACACAUUUGGAUGAGUGGGAAAACUGACAGUCAUCAAGGAUAACUUCUUGGCUUGUGGUUUGAGGAAUUUGAUCAAUGGUGAUAUCAUUACCCUGGAGAAACAAGUGUGAGACUAAAACCUCAUCUCAGAUUUAAUUUUAAAAAUGCAAUUUGUCAAAUAGAAGAGGUCCCCAAUGGACAAAAGACCUAAAGAAGAAUUCACCCUGUCCUUUCACUCAUGGCCAUGAAAAUUGAUGCAGUGUUACAUCUACAUUUUAAAUGUAAGAUGAAGGAAGAAAAUAAAUAACCAAGGCCACAGUUUCCAAACCAACAGGAAAGAGAAAAUGGAACAUCAUAAAACUAUACAAGCAAAGAGAAAAAUCAAUAAAAUUCAGUGCAGCACAUCUUCUCGCUUACUUCUGAGCACACAAAGCCUGCUCAUCUGGAAUGCGCCAUGACUUGGAUACCGACCACCCUGGGGACUUUGGAUGCAUCUUAGAGUCAACAGAACACUCGAGAGAGAGGGUAGAUUAAGAAUAGUGUUCUUCACAAAAAUUGUUUGGUCUCGCUCUCUCAAUCCUGAUGCAAUUUUCCUAAUGGAGCAUACACUCAGAGAGGACAGCUAUCCAUAAGCCAAAGAAGCAGGCCUGCACCAGACACUGAAUCUGAAGACACCUUGAUCUUGGGUUUCUCAGCAGUGAACCACAAGAAGCAAUUUUCCAUUGAUCAAGCUACCCAGUCUAAGGCAUUUUGUUACAGAAACCUGAAAAGAUUAAGAUAUUGGCUACUGCUGCUGCUGCUGCUAAGUUGCUUCAGUUGUGUCCGACUCUGUGUGACCCCAUAGACGGCAGCCCACC